rnacentral:piRNA from 1 species
UGAUAGGCCCAGGUCUUGGAUUCUGCCCC